AUGCUGGGAUAGCGGAGGACCGCGCGUCUUGUUCCAGGUGUCAUGGCGACGAACAUCGAGCAGAUUUUCCGUGAUUUCGUAAUGAAUAAAAUCAAAGAAAUCCAAGACGAAGAGCAACACACCGGUGUGGAGAGCGAUGCCCAGCCAAAUGGAGGUGUGAUCCCUGAUUUGGAUAAGAAAGAUGCCAGCGAUGAGGCUCCUGGGAUCGAAGGAAACCAGGAAGAGCUGACCCUGACAACAGAAAGUGUUCAGUCCGGAACUGUUGAGGGGCAAGAGAGCUCUCAGCCUGAUACAGAAGCCAAUGUGAUUGCAGAGAGCUCGCAGGCUGGAGAAGAGAGUGGCAGCAAAGAAGGGAGCGAGACCCCCAGGAAGAAGAACAAGAAGCACAAGAGACACAAGAGCAAGAAGAAGAAGAAGAAACGGAAGGAGGAGAAGAGGUCCCGCUCCCGAUCGGGUAGCAGCUCGGAGUCUGGAGUGGAGUCUGACUCGGAACUGCGGUCACGCUCCAGUGUGAAGAGUGCCAAUGUGAUUCCUAUUGUGAAGGAGACUGGGGCCAGCGAAGAGGCUCCCAUCGCCCACAGGGCACAGAAGGGAGAGGUUGAACAGAAAAUGAAACAGGACCUUUCUGGGACUGCAGAGGAACAAGGGAACACACAGCCAGCUGGAGAAGAGAGUGGUGGUGAAACACGCAGAAGCAAAUCCAAGAAACAAAAAAAGCAUGCAAACAAGAAAAAGAAAAAGAAGAAAAAAAAGGAGGAGAAAGAAGAGAAGCGAUCACCAUCUCGCUCCAGAUCGGAAAGCACUUCAGGAUCUGGGACAGAUUCUGAAUCUGAAUUGAAAAGGUUUCCGUUGGAUUCUCUGUUAAACUCCUCAGACAGCCAGGUGGACAGGCCUGGUGCUGCUGUUGAUAAAGUGGUUGACACUUGUACGUCACUGGAGCCAAGACCUGAGAAGGAUUUAAGUCCUCCUACAGGGGUGGUAUCUGACACUAGUGUCAGUGAAAUGCAACUUCCAGCAGGCAUUACAGAAGUUUCCAUCUCAAAACAAAAUGGUUGUUCAUCAGGAGAGAUUAUCAUUGCCCCUGUUCAUGCAGAUGUUUUCGACUCUACUAAAGGUAAGGACUCCGAUGAUUUUGUUGUGAAACCUGAGGAAGAGCAAGCUGAACUUGCUAAAGAGACUGAAACAAAGAAAGAUGUGAGUAACCCGCUGGCAGUUAAAAGAGAAAGCAGUGAAGUGAAAAAGACAAGAGAAAGUCUUUCAAGGUCUCGAUCCUGUUCAAGAUCCAAGAAACGCAGCUCUAGACGGACCCCAUCUAAGAAGAGUCGCAGCCGGUCAAGGAGCAGGCAACGUGCUUUAGGAAAGUUUAGCUCAAGAAGGGGUCGUUCCUCAUCAAGAAGACAAUCAAGGUCGACUUCUAAAAAGAAGCGAAGUCAAUCUUCACCCAAGUCUAAAAAAAGGCAUUCCAGAUCAAGAUCAGUCAAGCGUAGAUCGAGGUCUCGCCUAAAGUUAAGCCGUAAAUCGAGAUCGGUAUCCCUUAAAAGGUCUAAGCGCUCAAAGUCUAGGUCUCGCACAAGAAACAGAAGAUCUAGAUCGGCCAAGCGUAAGCGUUCAAAAUCUAGAUCCCAAUCGCGAAACAAGUGUUCAAAGUCAAAAUCGAGGUCUAGGUCACCAAGACGAAGAAAGCGAACAUGUUCUAGAUCCCAACGUAGAACCAGACGGUCAAAAUCUAGGUCCCACUCAAGAACCAGACAGUCUAAAUCUAGGUCCAUCACAAGGAACAGGCGUUCAAGAUCUAGAUCACCCAGACGAAUCAAGCGAUCUCGUUCCAGAUGCAUAAUAAGAAACAGACGUUCAAAAUCUAGGUCACCCAGGAGAAACAGGCGGUCUAAAUCUAAGUCACCUUGGCGAAGCAGGCGCUCAAGAUCUAGAUCCCCCAGGAGAAACAGGCACUCAAAAUCUAGAUCCCCCAGGAGAAACAGGCACUCAAAAUCUAGAUCCCCCAGGAGAAACAGGCACUCAAAAUCUAGAUCCCCCAGGAGAAACAGGCACUCAAAAUCUAGAUCUCCAGCAAGACGCAUGAGGAGGAGUAGAGCUAAAUCAAAAUCACAGAGACGAAAUAAGCGAUCAAAGUCUAGAUCCCUAAGCAGACAUAGGAGGUCUAAAUCUAAAUCACCCAAACAAAAAAGACACUCAAAAUCUAAGUCUCCCAAAAGAAACAAGUGUUCAAAAUCAAAGUCUCCUACAAGAAACAAGCUCUCCAAAUCUAGAUACCCCUCAAAGGACAACAGAUCAGAAUCUAGAUCCCCCUCAAAGGACAAGAUGUCAAAAUCUGGAUCCCCCUCAAAGGACAAGAUGCCACAAUCUAGAUCCCCCUCAAAGGACAAGAUGCCACAAUCUAGAUCCCCCUCAAAGGACAAGAUGUCUAAAUCUAGAUCCCCCUCAAAGGACAAGAUGUCUAAAUCUAGAUCCCCCUCAAAGGACAAGAUGUCUAAAUCUAGAUCCCCCUCAAAGGACAAGAUGUCUAAAUCUAGAUCCCCCUCAAAGGACAGUAGAUCAGAAUCUAGAUCCCCCUCAAAGGACAAAAGAUCAAAAUCUAGAUCCCCCUCAAAUGACGAGAGAUCCAAAUCUGGAUCACCCUCCAAAGACCAGAGAUCCCAGUCUAGAUCACCCUCCAAAGACCAGAGAUCCCAGUCUAGAUCACCCUCCAAAGACCAGAGAUCCCAGUCUAGAUCACCCUCCAAAGACCAGAGAUCCAAAUCUAGAUUGCCAUCAGAACAUGAGAGAUCCAAAUCUAGAUCGCCCUCAGAUCACGAGAGAUCCAAAUCUAGGUCGCCCUCAAAACACGAGAGAUCCCAAUCUAGAUCGCCCUCAAAAGACAAGAGAUCCCAAUCUAGAUCCCCAGAAAGAAGCAAGCUCUCAGGAAGUAAAUCGCCAACCAAAGAGUUCACAAAGUAUAAAUCUGGAUCCCCUGCCAAAGACCAGUGCUCCAAAUCUAUAACCCCAUUAAAUGUAGAAAUAUCUACUUCCCCCAAACCAGAAACGGCAUUGGGACCAGUGUAUCCAACAACAGAUAUAUCUACAGGACCUCUCUGUGCAAUGAUGGAAGAAGAUUCAAUGCCACAGUCUUUUGCGGCAGACAGAUUUUCAAAGUCUGGAUCUCCCAUUAAAGUUGAUUGGUCAGAAUUAGAAUUUCCACUGACCAAUUCACCUUCUCUUGUGAACAGAGAAUGCAUAGAAGUUUCUUCACUGAUUAAAGACACAGAGUCUAAUAUUAUGACAGACGCUACAUGGACAGCAUUGUCCCCUAUGACAGCAAACUGUUUAACAACUGAAAGCACCACAACAGAUGAGCAUCCAGUAAGAUCGGCAUAUCCCUCAGUAGAUAGUAGUUACAAUACCAGUUCUUUGUUGAGGGAAAAGUCCCCACCAUCUGUAUCCUCAGAGUUUUCUGAAAGUGGGUCUCCAAAACCACAGCAGUGCUCAAGAUCGGAAAUAACAGAAAAGGACUUCACUCUUAAAUCACCUCCAUCUAUAGACAGACCUUUAACAUCCACUUUGACCCACACUUGUGAUCAGAAACCUGAAUUUCCCAUGUCGGACAAGUGCUUUAAAUUAGAAUCCUCCAAGUCAGACGGUAACUCACAAUCCAAAUCGCCAGCAACACAGAGUAAUUUGAGAUCUACAUCACCAGUAAAUGACGAGUCCUCUAAAUCUAGGUCUCCUGUAUCAGAUCGGUGUUCAAAGUCUGAAUCCCCUACAAGGGAAGAUACUUCAGCAUCAACUGCUGACAGACAAUCUGAGUCUAAACCUACAGUGGCAGACAUUUUUACAGGGUGUAGUACUCCUUGUAUAAGUCAACCUCAUAGUUCUUGCCCCCCUACAGCAGAGAUGCCUUCAGAAUCUUUAUCCCCAACUCGAGACACUUGUUCUCGAUCUCUAUCUCCGGCAUUGGAGGAUUUUCCAACAUCUUUGCCCGAGACGGAUGGAUGUCCAAAAUCUCCCAUUAGAGAAAAGCAUUCAGAAUCCCCAGGGCUAGAACAGAGCUCACAAUCUAAGUCUCCUGCAGAAAGUGCAUGUACUAAACCUGAAGUACCUACAAAAAUUGAUCGUUCAAAAUCUCGGUCUCCUCCGACAAACACUAAGUCCUCCACUAGAAACAAGAGUUCAAAAUCUAGAUCCCCCUCAGUAAAGAAACACUCAAAGUCCUCCAAGCAGAAGAACUGUUCCAGGUCUGGAUCUCCUGCUAAAAAGUCAAAGUCUCCAUCAAGGAGGAAGAGAUCUAGAUCCCCAGUGAGAAAGAAGCGUUCCAGAUCUAGAUCUUCCAGUCAGAAGAGGAGGUCUAAAUCGAGAUCACCUGCAAGAAAGAGAUCAAAAUCUAGAUCCCCCAUAAGAAGAAAGAGGUCUAGGUCCGAUACAAGAAGGAAGCGAUCAAAAUCCAGAUCCCCUAAAAGAAGGCGAUCAAAAUCGAGAUCGCCUUUUAGAAAGAAGCGGUCGAAAUCCAGGUCCCGUGGAAGGAACAGACGUUCAAAAUCGAGAUCGCCUGCAAGAAGAAAAAGGUCAAGAUCUAAAUCCCCUGCAAAGAAGCGCUCAAGAUCAGCCACUCGAGCAAGACGCUCAAGGUCCAAGCACAGAUCAAGGACUCGCUCCAUCUCAAGACCCCGAAGAAAAUCGCGCUCAGUGUCUCGAGACAGGAGGUCUCGCUCUGCAGAGAGGAGGAGGAGAACCAGGUAUCGGAGCAGGUCCAUUGAGCGCUGGAGGAGGUCCAGGUCCUUCAACAGGAGGAGGGUCUCCAGGUCUCCGGUGUUGCUGCUGAGGAGGAGAAGGUCAAUAUCCAGGACCCGGAGGAGCCCCAGCAAGACCCCUCCACGCCUCACAGAGCUGGAUAAGGCCCAGCUGCUGGAGAUAGCGAAAGCUAACGCUGCUGCCAUGUGUGCCAAGGCUGGUGUGCCCAUACCCCAGAGCCUGAAACCUACUGUCAUAAUGCAGCUGCCGUUACCACUGCCAAUCCCCCUGCCUGUUGAGGAGAAGAAGAAGGUUGUCCAGAAAGUGACCAACAGCACCAUUCUGGAGCUCACAGAGAAGUGCAAGCAGAUCGCAGAGAGCAAGGAGGACGAGAAUGAGGUGUUGAACAAGCCGCACGUGUCUGAUGAUGAAGAGGAGGAGCAGCCCUUCGGAGGCCAGGGUGCCAGGCUGGGAGAGCUCAAGGGCAUUUCCUUCAGUCUCAGUAACCCCUCAGUGAAAACGGCUGCCAGGACAGAGGUGGCACUGACCAAGGACUUCCCAGUGUCCUCGGGCUCGCAGCACAGGAAGAAAGAGGGAGACGGUGCCUAUGGGGAGUGGGUUCUUGUCGACAAGGGGGCCGAGAAGGAAAGCAAGGACGACGUCUUCACAGACACACCUGUGCAGCCUGUGGACAUCACACUGGCAAUGAACGAGAGAGCCGUGGCACAGAAGAAGCUGGCAGAAAACCCCUUCGAUAUCAACGCCAUUUGUAUGCUGAGUCGAGCACAGGAGCAGGUGGACGCGUGGGCCCAGUCCAGCAACCUGCCGGGCCGCUUCACAGGGAGCACCGGCGCCCAGGUCCUGUCUGCAGAAGAGCUCUCCUCCAGUGGACCCCAAGCCUGGAUACGAAAGGUAACCCUCCACUCCACAGCCAGCCCGGUUUCAUAGAACCUGUGAUCGGUAACCCUCCACCUGCAACUCGCAGGGCAUCUCCAGUGGUUAGACAGCCUGUAGGCAUCAGUAAGAGAUCUGCAGAUGCUCAAUGAACAGGGCACACAUAUUGAACACAGCAGUGAAGAACAGCUUGAUGACACAGGCAGUACACAUACUGCUUACCAUGCCUUGCAAUAACUACAUAAUCGUCUCACGAAUUUAUUUUUGAGAGAGUAAAACUAGAUGACUAAUGGAGGCAGUACACAUAGAAUAAAUACAAUGACAGUGUGCUGUCUGCUGCAUGCAGAAGAUCUGGGAAGUUUUUCUUGGUGUGGUGUUGGUACAGUGUAAUAAUAAUAAUAAUGUUUAUUGCCUUGUGUGAACCAAGUCCUGUUUAAAGUGGAUUGCUUGUGCACACUAACAUUACGAAGUUGGAAAUGGCCAGCUUUAUUGUAAAUCCCGCCUUUGUAUAGAAGAGUGCUGGUAGUGUGAAAUUUAUGUUUUUAUUCCUUUAAAUCUGGGUUAGUAUCUCUUGAUUUGAAAUGGGAUUUUGUGAAAUGAAUUGGGGUGAGAUAAUAAGAGAGGGGUGGGGUGAGAAAGGGGAUAAAUCCUUCCGCCAAAGUAAUCUUUUACAAUACCUGCAUCAUACUGUGUAUUUGAAUUACAAAAUCCAGUUUUGAUCAGCAGCACACAUUUAUAUUUGAGAUUAGAAACCUCUUAAUGUUUUCCUCUCUCAGUUGAGCACCCCACAGCUGUACUUCAGAAACAUCCACUUCACAAGUUAGUUUGUUCUGUUUUCACCCAAGUUCUGCCUCUGCUCCACAGCAUGCUGAAUGCUACCUGAACCCAGCCCCUGUUCAGUGGUGUUUAACCCUGUCUCGAGAGCGUAAGGAUCUCUUGAUGUCUGUUUCAUGUAUUUUCAUUGAUGUAAACAAUUCACUAAUCUCUGGAUCUACUUCCUUUGUUUGGUUUUCAUGAAAGAAGAGCAGAACUUCAGAACUUUGGUCAAAUAUUGCACUUAGUUUUUGCCAAGUGCAUUGAGAUUCUAUCACUGGAGUCAAUGCCCCUUGUAAGCCUUCAUUAUAUUGGACAUGUUGAGCUGCUAACGACCAGGUUGAAAUAUUUGAGUAGUUGGUAGCAAACAACACUAUUACUCAUUUGACUCAUCAGUUUAGAACUGAUUUGAAGGGCCUAACUGAAACAGCUGUAAUCUUUUUAAAGCUUUACCACAGUGAUUAGACAUCCCUGUGGGUGGCAUUCAUGUGCCACUUGAUUCCAUUUUAAAGAUAUGUCUGUGGUUUCAUGAAGACCAGCAUUUCUGAUCUCCCAGAGAUGUUUUAGUUUGUGAACUGGCUACACCACUGAAGAGAAUGAAACAGAUGUUGAUGUUGAAAUUCUAUCAAAGCAGGUACAAAACGGGAUGGGAACCCCUGAGCCCCUGUGACUGGGGGUUUGUGUCAGGCUCUGCAUGGUGGCCUCUUUGGUAUAAAGAGGUUCCUUGGGAAAGAGGGGAGGAGGAAAGCUGGAAGUAAGUACCCCCGUAGCACCGCCCACUGCCAGCUGUACUGACUGAGGCUACCGCAGCUGCUGUGAAGAUGAGGGGGUUCCUAGCAGAGCGACAAACUGGGCAAGAGGUGGACCUGACCUGAAAUGAAAAGGCAUCCUGUGUUUCCAUGAGCUGUGAUCCUCCUAGUAUCCCUCCCCAAAAUCAUCCAGGCUUUUUGAAAUGCUUAAGGAUGUUUUAUAUGCACACCUUGUGUUGUGCACUCAGCUUUGCACCGGUAACAUGAAGACUUUCAAAUCUAACAGACGUGCAUUAUAAACAGUGUCACUAUAUGCGGUUUAUGGCGUUUGCAAUGAAAUGUGGGUUGUCAGCGUGUUUGACUAUAAAGAGGAGACGCCUGGCUACCUGGUAAUUUUAGCAGUGGUCUAGUAAAGGGGGUAUGUGUCUGUUUGGGGUGGGUUGGGUAGAGGAGAGAGGUGAACGUUCACAGACUGACCUGUGAACUUUCACCCCUCUGUAUGGAAACUUGUUGCAGGGUCAAUCCUUGUAGCUGCCUUGUUGCCAUGGUCACUGUCAGGCCCUUCUAAUCACAACAGACCACGGCCGCUGAGGCCUAGGACCAGUUCCUGCGGGC